rnacentral:lncRNA from 1 species
AUUUUAUAUAUAUAUGUAUAUACUAUAAAGAAAGUGCCUAAUUUCUGUCAUUUGGUUACUUUGACAUCCUUCCCAAUUCACUUCCCCAGUACAUCAUUCAGAUAUGCGUGUAAAAUAUAUUAAAGAACCACGAAACUGUUGCAGUCUGGCAGAAUUUGAAGAGAAAGGAGAUAGCCAAAUAUUCUGGUUACUGACAUAAACAGGAUGACACAGUGCUAAAAGCGAGGUAGCCAAUAAGACUGUCUGGAGGAUCACAGAUUGUUAGAAAGCACAGAGGGAGUGAGGAGUGACAUUUCUGCUGAGAGUGUUCCAUAGGAUCUGACUGUGAAUAUACUGUGAGGAUUAAUCUCGGAGAGUGAGUGACAUACAAGUGUCUAGUGGAAUGACCAAUAGUGAGAGAAGUGACAAACAUCUUGAUUAUGCAGAAACAGCAGUAAUAAAGUGUAGAAUGAAUUUCAAGGGGACUAGUCCAAAGCAGCCAUCAAUAACUUCUGAUCUGACAGAGGUGAUAAUUAAGAUUGCCAUUUAA